rnacentral:rRNA from 1 species
UACGUAGGGUGCAAGCGUUGUUCGGAAUUACUGGGCGUAAAGGGCGCGUAGGCGGCAUGGCAAGUCGGGAGUGAAAGGCCUGGGCUCAACCGAGGAACUGCUUUCGAGACUGCCAAGCUAGAGUGCGGAAGGGGCAUCUGGAAUUCCCAGUGUAGCGGUGAAAUGCGUAGAUAUUGGGAAGAACACCUGAGGCGAAGGCGGGAUGCUGGGCCGACACUGAGCGCUGAGGCGCGAAAGCGUGGGGAGCAAACAGG